AUGGCGGUACAGUCUACAUGUCCUCUGUGCGGCUAUGUUGACUCAUGAAGACAUGCACUAGUGUCGUGCACGAUGUCCCGCUGCGUGUGGGCUCUAUCAGAUGAGAUUCUUGUUUCCAAAAUGUCAGAGAACUUGGAAGCUAAUGCUCGGAUUUGGUUGUUUUAGCUGAAUGAAUCCCUGGACCAUGCAAGCUUCACACGGCUGGUAAUCACACUAUGGUCUAUAUGGUAUGCAAGGAAGGAGCAUCCGAUAACACAAACAACAGCAUCUGCCCAGCAGAAGAGGUGGUUGCCACCUCCGAAUGGCAACGCCAAGUUUAAUGUGGACAGAGCGGUGGCCAGGUCUCGGUGUGGAGGGGCUGCUGCAGCGAUAUGCCGGGAUCAGGACGGCCUAUACUUGGGUUCGUCGGCAGUCAUUUUUCAAGGAGUCACUGAUCCAGCGAUGCUCGAGGCUUAUGCGUGCAGGGAAGCUUUGGCAUUAGCAGAAGAUCUUGCAACAACCAACAUAUGUGUGGCCUCUGACUACCAAGAAGUGAUCAAUGACAUCAACAGGGGGACAGGAGGUCCCAACGCCGCACUUGUACAUGAAAUAAUGCUUCGUUGUAAUAGUUUUACUUCUUACUCUUUUAUUCAUGAGCGUAGAAGCCACAAUUAUGAAGCUAACAAUCUCGCCAAUAUGCUUGUAGCCUAG
rnacentral:rRNA from 1 species